rnacentral:tRNA from 1 species
GGGUCGUUAGCUCAGUUGGUAGAGCACCGGGCUUUUAACCCGAUGGUCGAGAGUUCGAGCCUCUCACGACCCACCA